rnacentral:rRNA from 1 species
UUCGAUUCUGGCUCAGGAUGAACGCUGGCGGCGUAGCUUAACACAUGCAAGUCGAACGGAGUUUUAACGGAAGUUUCGGAUGGAAGUUUAGAAACUUAGUGGCGGACGGGUGAGUAACGCGUGGGUAACCUGCCUCAGUACAGGGGGAUAACAGUUAGAAAUGACUGCUAACACCGCAUAAUAUAGCGAAACCGCAUGAUUUUGCUAUCAAAUAUUUAUAGGUAUGAGAUGGGCCCGCGUCUGAUUAGCUAGUUGGUGGGGUAAAAGCCUACCAAGGCGACGAUCGGUAGCCGGCUUGAGAGAGUGACCGGCCACAUUGGGACUGAGACACGGCCCAAACUCCUACGGGAGGCAGCAGUGGGGAAUAUUGGACAAUGGGGGGAAACCCUGAUCCAGCGACGCCCGCGUGAGUGAAGAAGUAUUUCGGUAUGUAAAGCUCUAUCAGCAGGGAAGAUAAUGACAGUACCUGACUAAGAAGCCCCGGCUAACUACGUGCCAGCAGCAGC